CUUUGCUUCCAGAUUCAGCUUCCAUCUUCUUUGUGAAAAUCAAGUACUCUUGGAGCUCACUGAAGACAAUCGUAAUGUAUGGCAACAGAAAAAGACAUCAGAAUGAGGAUGAAAAUAACAGAACCACGAUGCAGCCUGAAUGAAUCAACUAUGGAAGACUUGACACAGUGCUUGAUCAUUAUUCAUUGCUGAUAAUGCAGAUUCUGACAGCUCAGACUCAGUUUGAGGGAGAGCCUCCUCCUCUCCCUGGCUGCCACCACAGCCUUCUGAAGAAGUGUGCAAAGGGACCUCAUGCUCCAAGCAUGGACAAGUCACGC